rnacentral:ncRNA from 1 species
AGCACGAACUGGCAAACUGUUUGAAAGAACAGGACGCAAAACGACCGGCCUAAGGUUUUUACUAUGGCAGCGGCGUUACCGAA